CGGAGUUCGAGAAAUCGACAAAAUUCAAUAAUACGGAAAAAAAAACAACCAAGUUCAACGCGCAUGCUCAAAAAAAAGCUCUAUCCAUCCUAACACAUACAUUUCGAAAGUCGCCGAAAGCAGCCCAACUGCAGAUGAAGAAAAGUUUAUCUGUGUAUUAUCUGCCAUGGAUGUAACAUGGACACCAACACUGAUUAGUGCGAAGCGAGCUCCUGUAACAUAAGGCCAGAUUGCGACUGGGAAAGACCAGGAGGGAACGUCUCAUGAGAGGAGGUGUAACGAACUGACAGGACAUCCUGUGUGGAUCGCUCACGGUGAAGAGUCUGACUGUGGUGACUGAGGUCUCUCAGGUCCAUGUCAAAUGAAGUGAACCAGGAUUUCGUCUCAUUUCAGAAGUCGUCAAUGAGCAGAGAUACAGCGACCCUUCCAGCCCAAUGAGCCACUCUACCCAGCACCCACCGAUUUAACCCUCGUCUAAUCACAGGACAAUUUACAACGACCAAUUAACCUACCAACUGGAGUGUCUUGGACUGUGGGAGGAAACCCACUCGUUCGUGGGAAGGACAUACAAUCUCCUGAUGAAGGAUCCCAAUGUGAAACGUUGACCGUCCAUUUCCCUCCAUAGACACUGCCUGACCUGCUGAGUUCCUCCAGCAUCUUGUGUGUUGUUCCAGGCUCAAUGAGAGGCGGGUGCUGCCUCUGCCAUCUCCUGGGGCAAAGAAACCCCCGGUCCGAACUGAAGGAGAGAUAAAUUGUUCAGUCACAGCCAGGGCACUGUGGUCUAUGUUCCGAGGCUAAUAAUGCACAACAGGGAUGGGCGAUCCAGCCACGUGUUCGAAUCCCCACUCCCCCCUUGACAGCUGUCCGAUUUUAAAUCAAUUAAUUAAAUAAAUUGUAGAAAAGAGAAAGUAAAGCUGACAGAUGAAAAAGCGGGAUUAAAGACUUCCUAAGGUAUUUCAGGGAAAGACAUCCGCCGUUCUUACCUUUAUCCUGUCUGACUCAGUGACCGGGGCAGACCCUCGGAAUAAUGGCCUGGGGCGCUGAGUGCAGAGGUGGAGGAGCGAAGGGGUUGACUAUCCAGCAGCAAGGAAGCUCAGCACCGGGGAGGGUGUGCGGUGAGAGGGCAUGAACGGUCUAGGGCAAGUGCGCAGGUCCCGCAGAGACAGGGUAGGCACCGAGAUCCUCAGAGAGGCGCACAGCCAAAUGGUCCUCUUUAUCGUAACGAGCGAACAGCCAAGCUGGCAGGAAGUCCCUGGCACUGACUGAUAAAGCAGCGCGAAGUAAAGACAUAGACAUUACAGCACAGUGCAGGCCUCUCGGCCCAUAGUGUGUGCUAACCAUUUAACCUACCUUAAGAUCAAUCUAACCCUAAAUAUCCCUCUGUUUUUCUGUCACCCCUAUACCUGAGAGGGUCAUAAAAGC